rnacentral:rRNA from 1 species
CCUACGGGUGGCAGCAGUGAGGAAUAUUGGUCAAUGGACGAGAGUCUGAACCAGCCAAGUAGCGUGAAGGAUGACUGCCCUAUGGGUUGUAAACUUCUUUUAUAUGGGAAUAAAACGUUCCACGUGUGGGAUUUUGUAUGUACCAUAUGAAUAAGGACCGGCUAACUCCGUGCCAGCAGCCGCGGUAAUACGGAGGGUCCGAGCGUUAUCCGGAUUUAUUGGGUUUAAAGGGAGCGUAGGUGGAUUGUUAAGUCAGUUGUGAAAGUUUGCGGCUCAACCGUAAAAUUGCAGUUGAAACUGGCAGUCUUGAGUACAGUAGAGGUGGGCGGAAUUCGUGGUGUAGCGGUGAAAUGCUUAGAUAUCACGAAGAACUCCGAUUGCGAAGGCAGUUCACUGGACUGCAACUGACACUGAGGCUCGAAAGUGUGGGUAUCAAACAGGAUUAGAUACCCUGGUAGUC